AGAAAGUAAGAUAGGAACUAAUUCAGCUAAUUUUUAAACUUGGGCCAAUCCUUAUUUCUAGAAAGCCAUUUUCAGCAGCCCAAUUCGCCAAACAAAUGCCCCAGCCCACAUCCUCACCAACCCGACUCGGCCCAAACACCUACAACUAAAGCCCCCUUAAGUUCCUAAUCCAUCUUCAGUACCAGAACCAAGCGAUCCCCUUAUCUCUUCAACGUAAGCCUAGCAAAUAGCAAUAUCCCACCAAAUCCCACCAACGUAAGCCUAGCAAUAUCCCACCAAAUCCCCUCUUCUCCUUUCUCACACUCCAUCUCUGAAGCUUGCAGGCUCAAUGUGCGAUUUCAGCGGAUUUCAUGGUAAGUCCCAUCCCUAUUUUCAUCAUCUCAUCUGUGGAAAAUAUCUCCCAAAAUUUCUCUUAUUUUUGAAUUUCGAAUUCUUGCUUCUUUGUGGAGCUGUUGAAACCCUCAGUUGUUACCUAUAAAUAGAAGCCCUUAGUGAGCUAUUUGGGACAGGUUCAAGUGUUGGAAAUUCCUCUUGAAUAACCCCCCAAAAAAAAUCUCAUCUGUUUUCAUCAAGCUUUUCAUAAAAAAAAAAAAAUCUUUUUUUACUCUAAGUUGGUGGUCUCAAAAAUUGUCUUUUAACUCUAAUUUUGUUUUGUCGAAUUCUUGGUGGUUCUCGGCUAAACAAGCUCUUCAAAAGGAUUCUCGAGACGACAACAAGCCUCAGUUCGCUGUCACGGAGAAGCAACCUGGGGAGUGCAUUGGAGUUGUGAUACAACUUCAGCUCUGCCCCGAAUUAGGAGAGCACCAGCAAUCGCAUUUUCAGCUAGAGCCUAGCAGCCCCGUUUGCAUCAAAGCGUCCGCGUCCCUCUUCCUCUCUUUAAAUUUUAUAGCUUCUUGUAUUGAUAUGUGAUAUGCUGAUUGACUAAAGUUUUUAUGGGUUUGUAUUCGUAGUAUUCUGUUUCUAGCUUGUUGUUAGUAAACUCGUGAACGCCCGAGAAUGAUUGCUUCAAAUAAAUUUUCACUAAGAAAAAACAAA